CCCUACGGGAGGCUGCAGUGGGGAAUAUUGCGCAAUGGGGGAAACCCUGACGCAGCAACGCCGCGUGAAUGAAGAAGGCCUUAGGGUUGUAAAGUUCUGUUUUCUGGGACGAUAAUGACGGUACCAGAGGAGGAAGCCACGGCUAACUACGUGCCAGCAGCCGCGGUAAUACGUAGGUGGCAAGCGUUGUCCGGAUUUACUGGGCGUAAAGGAUGCGUAGGCGGAUGUUUAAGUGAGAUGUGAAAUACCCGAGCUCAACUUGGGUGCUGCAUUUCAAACUGGAUAUCUAGAGUGCAGGAGAGGAAAGCGGAAUUCCUAGUGUAGCGGUGAAAUGCGUAGAGAUUAGGAAGAACACCAGUGGCGAAGGCGGCUUUCUGGACUGUAACUGACGCUGAGGCAUGAAAGCGUGGGGAGCAAACAGGAUUAGAUACCCCUGUAGUCA
rnacentral:rRNA from 1 species